CCCCCCUCCCCCCCUCGCCCCCUCCUUUCCCCCCCAAAAAAAAAAAAAAACAACCCGACCUCCUCCCAGCGCACCAAGGAACGAUGAAAAAAAAUAAUUCUGCGAAAAGGGGGCACCAGGAUGGAAACCAGCAACCUGCGCAGCCGGAGAAGGUCGGCUGGGUGCGGAAAUUUUGCGGGAAAGGCAUUUUUAGGGAGAUCUGGAAAAACCGUUAUGUGGUUCUGAAGGGAGAUCAGCUUUACAUCUCGGAGAAGGAGCCGAGCUCUGCUGGGAGACAUUUUCCCAGCCUGGAGGCACGAAAGGAUUCACUUAGCGAGAGUUAAGCCCCUCAGCCCUCUUCCUGCCGCGGCGACAGCAAUGCCUUCUGUGCCUGUCCUCCCUCGCCGAGCCCGGCAGUGCCUCGUUCCCAGCUGCUCGCCGCCCAUUUGGAAAUAACUCCGCUCUCCCGGCUGGAAUCGAGCCAUUUACGGGUCGAUCUCUGCUAUUUUUCCCCGGCGCCGAGAGGACAACGGGGAGAUUUUUCCCCCCCGGGUUCCACCACACCGUGUUGCACAACGUGCCCCCUCCGCUCCCCCUCCUCCGUCUCCUGGCCGGGGUUUGGGGUUUAAGGUGAUGUUGACACCAGAGGUAAUCGGAUGUGACUGCCGGGCUGAGCCGACACACCCGGCUGUCCUUGCACGGCCCGCCCCGCUCUUUUUGUCUCCAUAAAUCCAUCGGGGAGAACUCCCCAUCCAGGGCCCUCCAAAUCCAUCGGGGAGAACUCCCCACCCAGGGCCCUCCAAAUCCAUCAGGGAGAACUCCCCACCCAGGGCCCUCCAAAUCCAUCGGGGAGAACUCCCCACCCAGGGCCCUCCUCCCUCGGGUCCCCUCUGACACCCCGGAGCUGCACCGGUGCCCACAGCAGGCACAGGGGCUGCUCCAGGUCAGGGAAUUCGGGGUAACACCCCAGUCUGGCUGGGUUCCCCUCAGGGGGGGACAUUCCCUGCUGGAUGCAGGGCUGCCUGGCCCAGCUCAGGAUCUGGAGAGUGGCAGGGGCCACUUGGUUUAGGGCUGGUGGAGUCGUGGGCACGGCACACGCGGAGGCAUCAAGGGUUGUUGGAGCACAGAAAUGGUCUAAGAAGUGGACUGAGUGCCCAGGUGGAGCUGAGCUGUGUGCUGGAAU